rnacentral:lncRNA from 10 species
AAGAAAGUGGAGCCCAGGACUUUCCAGUCCCCACCUAGUGAUCAACGUCUCACCCACGGUCAGGGGAGCAACUGGUGGUUCUACUUUUUUGAAUUCUGAAGGCAAAGGCAAGCUUUUUUUAGGGGUCCUGCUGUUGGCAGAGAAAGCUCCCAAGAGUUCUGCAGAGAAGAAGGAUAUAGACUCCAAAAUUUUACUUCCAGGGACCAUUUCAGUAGAGCCUUUUAAGACACAUGUUUUGGAAUACAGUCAAAUGCGUGCUGCUGUAUGACCAGCCUAUUUGAACUACUUAAGCAUCAACUAAUUAAUCUGCAAGUGAAGAAUACUUCCAGCAUUACUCUAUAAUUAGACAAUCUCAGGAGGAAACAAGAGGAUUUCAAAGGGGAGUCAGAUGGUUUCGCAGACCGCUACAUCAUUUAUUUUUUCAUCACUCAGAUUAUGCCUCCAAAUCCUACAGAAGUAUAACAACCAUAGAACAGACAAACACCAACAGCAUCAACAACAGAGAAACUCAGUCCAGGAGGAUAUGAAACCCUUUGUAAUAAAGAAAGCAACAUCCAUGAACAUUUGUGUACAUGUGUCUUUAUGGUAGAAUGAUUUCUAUUCCUUUGAGUAUAUACCCAGCAAUGGGAUUGUUG